rnacentral:lncRNA from 1 species
CCUUAAAUAAAAAAUGCCUGAAAAUAUGUGCCUCUCCACCUACAAUCCUGGCUGUGCAAGAAACACUUGACUUCCUCGACUCUUCUCUUUCAAGUCCUUCUUUCACCCUAGGUCACUUCUGUCCCCUGCCUCCAUUCUUAGAAAGCGCUGGUCCUCCUGUCUGUCCCCCAGCCGAUGCUCCAUGCACGGCCUGUUGGGGUGUCCCUUCCCUCCUCCGCCCUGCCUGAAGCUCAAGUGUCACCUGUACAGCUGAACCCCAGGUCUGUUUCGGGGCACGGGGAAACAGUCUACAUCCCUCAGGACUUAGGAUGCUCAAAUCUGGUAGGUGUCUCAGGACCUCGCGAAGCCAGACCAUAAGAUCUACAGGGGCUCUCAGACGCCACCGCAUCCAACAGCUCGAAGAAGGAACCAGAGAAGACUAGAAACAGGAUGGAAUGGGAAGGUGGAGGGAGAGGCGAAGGGGAAGUCGCGAUGCUGACUGCAAGGCCCCCUCGUCCUCAGGCGUCCAGCUUGCAGGGACUGCCCCUGCCUUGGGAGAGUCCUCACAGGCCACACCUGCCACUGGGCCAGGCCACAGCAGACACUCAUGACAGACGAUAAGAAUGACAGCUGCCCGCGCUUGAGCAGGCACUCUAGG